rnacentral:rRNA from 1 species
UUAGAUACCCUGGUAGUCCACGCCGUAAACGAUGAUUACUAGGUGUGGGUGCGAAAGCAUCCGUGCCGGAGUUAACACAAUAAGUAAUCCACCUGGGGAGUACGACCGCAAGGUUGAAACUCAAAGGAAUUGACGGGGGCCCGCACAAGCAGUGGAGUAUGUGGUUUAAUUCGACGCAACGCGAAGAACCUUACCAGGUUUUGACAUCCUGCUAACGAAGUAGAGAUACAUUAGGUGCCCUUAGGGGAAAGCAGAGACAGGUGGUGCAUGGUUGUCGUCAGCUCGUGUCGUGAGAUGUUGGGUUAAGUCCCGCAACGAGCGCAACCCUUACCGAUAGUUGCUACGCAAUAGCACUCUAUAGGGACUGCCGUUGACAAAACGGAGGAAGGUGGGGAUGACGUCAAAUCAUCAUGCCCCUUAUGACCUGGGCGACACACGUACUACAAUGGUCAUGAACAGAGGGAAGCAAAGCCGCGAGGUGGAGCGAAACCCAAAAAAUGAUCUCAGUUCGGAUUGCAGGCUGAAAGCCGCCUGCAUGAAGCCGGAACUGCUAGUAAUC